rnacentral:ribozyme from 1 species
GGUUUGCUUGUUGGAUACCUCCUCGCGGUGCAAACUGGGCAAUGCUGUGCUCCUACGACAGGGGAAAUUGGACACCACUGUUAGGCACAGUAGCCAAAAUCCAC